GUGGGCUAUGGUGAUGUGGCGCCCAAAACCUAUCCGGGCAUGUUUGUGGGUGCCCUAUGCGCUCUGGCCGGUGUGUUGACAAUAGCUUUACCCGUACCUGUGAUUGUUAGCAAC
rfam:Stomoxys calcitrans breed 8C7A2A5H3J4 unplaced genomic scaffold Scaffold997, whole genome shotgun sequence.